UAAAGUUUAAGCCUUCUGUCAGUUUUUGUGUCAGUGAAAGAAGGAGAUUGGCGUGCCAUCAAAUCAACUCCAAGGAACCGGAAUUCUUUGCAAUUUCAUUGAAAAGCAGCAGCCGUUCGAUUCCAAGGAUUUGCGUGAGUGAUGGACACUUCUUCUCUCUCUCUCCUCUCACUCCACCUGGAAGAAA